rnacentral:rRNA from 1 species
ACGAACGCUGGCGGCGCGCCUAACACAUGCAAGUCGAACGAGCGAGAGAGAGCUUGCUUUCUCGAGCGAGUGGCGAACGGGUGAGUAACGCGUGAGGAACCUGCCUCAAAGAGGGGGACAACAGUUGGAAACGACUGCUAAUACCGCAUAAGCCCACGGCUCGGCAUCGAGCAGGGGGAAAAGGAGCAAUCCGCUUUGAGAUGGCCUCGCGUCCGAUUAGCUAGUUGGUGAGGUAACGGCCCACCAAGGCGACGAUCGGUAGCCGGACUGAGAGGUUGAACGGCCACAUUGGGACUGAGACACGGCCCAGACUCCUACGGGAGGCAGCAGUGGGGAAUAGUGCACGAUGGGGGAAACCCUGAUGCAGCGGCGCCGCGUGGAGGAAGAAGGUCUUCGGAUUGUAAACUCCUGUUGUUGGGGAAGAUAAUGACGGUACCCAACAAGGAAGUGACGGCUAACUACGUG